GCUUCCAUAGCUCAGUUGGUAGAGCAGCGGUCUCUAAAACCGCGGGUCGUGGGUUCGAGCCCCACUGGUCGCACCA
rnacentral:tRNA from 1 species